rnacentral:piRNA from 1 species
UUUGGAUAUUGGUCAACUUUU